rnacentral:rRNA from 1 species
UGCAGUUAAAAAGCUCGUAGUUGGAUUUCGGAGUGGGCCAGUUGGUCCGCCGCAAGGUGUGUUACUGACUGGUUUGCUCUUCUUCGCAAAGACUGCGUGUGCUCUUGAGUGAGUGUGCGUAGGAUUUACGACGUUUACUUUGAAAAAAUUAGAGUGUUCAAAGCAGGCUAUUGCUUGAAUACAUGAGCAUGGAAUAAUGGAAUAGGACUUUGGUCCCAUUUUGUUGGUUUCUAGGGCCGAAGUAAUGAUUAAGAGGGACAAUUGGGGGCAUCCGUAUUUCGUUGUCAGAGGUGAAAUUCUUGGAUUUACGAAAGACGAACAACUGCGAAAGCACUUGCCAAGAGUGUUUUCAUUAAUCAAGAACGAAAGUUAGAGGAUCGAAGACGAUCAGAUACCGUCCUAGUUCUAACCAUAAACGAUGUCGACUAGGGAUCAGCGGGCGUUAUCGUACGACCCCGUUGGCACCUUACGGGAAACCAAAGUUUUUGGAUUCCAGGGGAAGUAUGGUUGCAAAGCUGAAACUUAAAGGAAUUGACGGAAGGGCACCACCAGGAGUGGAGCCUGUGGCUCAAUUUGACUCAACACGGGA